rnacentral:tRNA from 1 species
GGGAGCAUAGCUCAGUUGGUUCAGAGCAUCUGCCUUACAAGCAGAGGGUCAUAGGUUCGAAUCCUAUUGCUCCCA